ACUUCCGGGGCACGAAGGAGGCAACGGGUUUUUUUUAAAUUUAGUUUUUUAAAAUCUCAUUUCUGUGCAUUGUCUGCCAAGAGCAUUGAUAAUGAUAGAUUUUAAAUUAUUUUUAUUAAUAAUUAUUAAUUGACCAGACUUUCAAAGUUAAUUAAAAAGCUGAAAACACUCAUUGGGGAUCUGGCAGCAUCUGUGGAGAAGUAGUUCUGAUGGAGAGUUAAGUUGGACCUGAAGCCUUAACUCUGUUUCUCUCUCCACUAAUGCUCCCAGACCUGCUGGGUUUUUCCAGUAUUUUCAAAUUUCCAUUAUCCCUGCAGUGUAUUUUGCUCUUUUUUUCGCAUUACACUUCAGAAAUACCAACUCUUCACUUGGUGUAAGGCACCUUGAGAUGCCUGGUGGCCGCAAAAGGCACCAUAUAAAAUUAGAGUGUCCAUGCGCUUACAUUGUUUUGGACAGUCCCUCGAUGAGGAUGUGACCCCAAACAAACAAUGGCCCUGAGUUCGGUUGGCAUUGACGCUGCAUGUGAAGAUUUCUGCAAUUUUUUUUUCCAUCCGGGACCUCCGAUUUCGGCUGAAGCAUCAAUGGGUCAGUGCUGACAGACACCCAUGGGCGAAGACUGUCGAGCACAAGAAAAGACAGACAAUGCGACAACAGGCCCGCUUCUCAUGAUAUUAGCUGCCAUAUUCGGAGUUGCUGCGGGGAGAUGCAGAACACACAAAUGCAAAGCAGCAGUCAACCGAAAAAGAAAUAUAAAAUGGACCAAAUUAGCCGAGGAGAAAAGGCCUUUCGACGAUCCUUGUAUGAUAUCAGCUGGGCCUCUUAAAUCCAUUUCUGUAAUGCUUAGCAAUCUUGGGCAACUGCUUUGCACAUGUUUGGCUGAUGCUUGGUGUUAACAUGACAGAAAUUAUAGAAAGUAAGUUGGAUGACGUCCCCAUAUAGUUUCAUUUAAACAACCUUACUCGUCUUAGAGUGGGCAAUUGUACCACCCGCCAGAAAUGAUAGCAAAAAAAUUUGUGCCCAUGCUAAGUUGGCUACGUAAUGGAGAUGCACUCCAUUUUAUGACACCACCGAUCUGAGGAAUUUCUGAAAAUCUUUGGCCUUUACUGGGAAAUUAGGCUCUCAUUUCCCGUGCAACAAUCAACCAUGUUGACCUCAACUUAACCUUCUGUACAUUCAAUUCCAACCCUGACCAGAUAUUUACCCUGAUUUUUAAAAUUCACUUAUAUUUGAAGACAGGAGAUGGAGAGGUAAACACAGUCUGUAUGACGACGUUGGGAUGAAUUGAAACAUUGAAAAACCAGAGCGGGAGGCAUAAAUAAACACAUUGAAGGGUUGGAAAUAGAAAAAGAAGCAAAGCCGAUGUAGCGACAUGAUUAUUUGUUUCUUAGCUCACCAGGAAUAGAAACUAACUGGUUCCAGAACAGUUAGUAAGUGGAAUUUUCCAGCCCUGAUCUACUUUUACAUCCUACACAUUAAAUCAUGCGAUACAAGAUAAGAAGUUAAUGCACAUUGCACAAUAAUCCAUCAGCCACAAAGUCACAUGUCUAGUUUACAGAGGCACUGUUUCACAACCAGUCCCUCUUUUUAGAAUCAAUUGUAAUGAAUCUAUUGGAGUUUUCAUUUUCAUCACUGCCCCCUCUCUCUUUAUUCCUUCAAGGCAUCAUGCCCCACGGAUAAUCUGAAGGUCAGUCUUUAAUCAGCCUUUAGUGGGUGUCUGAAUAUGUCCAGGGUGACUCACUUCUUCCCCCUGUGCUGGGUUCCUCCUCUCUGUCAUAGAGGUUACGAUAGCACUAAACAGCGGCAUCAUAUUAACCGCCGUUAUACCUCCCACCUAAUAUUCAGUACCAUUGACCUUGGUAAACCUGAAUAUCAAGCAGGACAGAUAACCUCACUGGUAUGACUCAUUUUUAUCUCUUAAGAAAAAGAAGGCUGAGGGGUGAUCUGAUAGAGAUCUUUAAAAUUAUGAAAGGUUUUGAUAGUGGACAAAGAGAAUGUUUCCAUUUGUGGAACCAGAAGCCAUCAAUAAAAGAUAGUCACCAAGAAAUCCAAUAGGGAAAUCAGAAAAAAACUUGCUUACUCAAAGAGCAGUGAGAAUGUGAAACUGUCUACCACAAGGACUGGUUGAAGGAUAGAUGCAUUUACAGGGAAACUAGAAGUAUAUGAGGAAGAAGAAAACUAAGGGUGUUGCUGGCAAAUUUAGAUAAGGAAAAAUGGGAGGAGGCUGAAAUGGAACAUAAAUGGCAACAGGGCCUGGUUGUGCCAAAGAGCCUAUUUCUGUGCCAUAUAUCCAAUGGUAUGUAAACUAUGUAUGUAAACAGGUGGCCAAUGCAAUACUGUCUAUUUUCUACUACCAAUCAAAAUGAAUUUCAAUCCAUUAUCUGGCAGCAUUGCUGACUUACAAACAUUAUUCUGUAGGGAACAAGAGCGCCAAGAAAUGCCUACUACAGAGAGGGACUAGGGGUCAUCUGGUUGGAUGAUGUGAGUUGUAACAGGACAGAGCCUGCCCUCGAUCAAUGCUCUGCCAACCCAUGGGUGGGGAAUAACUGCACGCAGACAGGAUCCUGAGUCCUAACCCACUCGGUGGCACAGAAGGUUGGGCAUAGCCAUACUGUCCCACCAAACCAUUCUUGCUUCCAUGUGUUUGCUGAUAGAUCAAGGGCCAACCCCAAACUUAGGGUUGUGCAAUGAGUGUGAGACUGAAAGAGGUAAGGAGUUACACACUCUGCAAGAAGUAUUGUAGAUAAGAUUCAAUGUUUAAUCUUGUGUUAUUAUCCACUUCAAUGUUAUUCUUCCAGAAUAGUUGAGAGAAUUAGUGAUUGCAUUUGCCACCAAUGUCCUUGAAUGCCAGCACCAGAUGGUCCAAGAGCUGCCCAGUAUUAAUUCUCCUUCCAACCUUCCUUCAUCACUGCCUGUACAGUUAUCAUAGCCUGUACAUGCCAUUUUCCACUUGCAGGUGUUGAUGUCAAGAACUGACAGUGGAACUCAAACCUGUAUCAAUCCUUUCUCAGUGCCUUUGUGCUACCCCUGGUUAACUAUUGUAAUAUUUAGUCUGAUGAAAACCAAAAGGGUAAGUAUAUUACAUGGCAUUUCAAAAUGUAACUAACAGCAAACAGAUUGCAAGGUUAAAUUUUCUCUUCAUUUAUCAAGUUGGUGUGGAAAAGUCCUAGCUUGUGUGGUGAAUGGACUUGUUAGAAGCUGUUGAAACAAAUGUGUAAGAGACUUGACUUGAUGCUCAAAUGGGCAAUUAAAAAUAGGAAUUAAAUAAUGAGAAAA